rnacentral:rRNA from 1 species
CUGGCGGCAGGCCUAACACAUGCAAGUCGAGCGGUAGAGAGAAGCUUGCUUCUCUUGAGAGCGGCGGACGGGUGAGUAAUGCCUAGGAAUCUGCCUGGUAGUGGGGGAUAACGCUCGGAAACGGACGCUAAUACCGCAUACGUCCUACGGGAGAAAGCAGGGGACCUUCGGGCCUUGCGCUAUCAGAUGAGCUCUAGGUCGGAUUAGCUAGUUGGUGAUGGUAAUGGCUCACCAAUAGGCGACGAUCCGUAACUGGUACUGAGAAGGAUGAUCAGUCACACUGGAACUGAGACACGGUCCAGACUCCUACGGGAGGCAGCAGUGGGGAAUAUUGGACAAUUGGGCGAAAGCCUGAUCCAGCCAUAGCCGACGUGUGUAGAAUGAAGGUCUUCGGAAUUGUAAAGCACUUUAAGUUGGGAGGAAGGGCAUUAACCUAAUACGUUGGUGUCUUGACGUUACCGACAGAAUAAGCACCGGCUAACUCUGUGCCAGCAGCCGCGGUAAUACAGAGGGUGCAAGCGUUAAUCGGAAUUACUGGGCGUAAAGCGCGCGUAGGUGGUUCGUUAAGUUGGAUGUGAAAUCCCCGGGCUCAACCUGGGAACUGCAUUCAAAACUGACGAGCUAGAGUAUGGUAGAGGGUGGUGGAAUUUCCUGUGUAGCGGUGAAAUGCGUAGAUAUAGGAAGGAACACCAGUGGCGAAGGCGACCACCUGGACUGAUACUGACACUGAGGUGCGAAAGCGUGGGGAGCAAACAGGAUUAGAUACCCUGGCAGUCCACGCCGUAAACGAUGUCAACUAGCCGUUGGGAGCCUUGAGCUCUUAGUGGCGCAGCUAACGCAUUAAGUUGACCGCGGGGAGUAC